rnacentral:rRNA from 1 species
GACGAACGCUGGCGGCGUGCUUAACACAUGCAAGUCGAACGGAAAGGCCCUGCUUUUGUGGGGUGCUCGAGUGGCGAACGGGUGAGUAACACGUGAGUAACCUGCCCUUGACUUUGGGAUAACUUCAGGUAACUGGGGCUAAUACCGGAUAGGAGCUCCUGCUGCAUGGUGGGGGUUGGAAAGGUUGGGCGGUGGGGGAUGGACUCGCGGCUUAUAAGCUGGUUGGUGGGGUAGUGGCUUACCAAGGCUUUGACGGGUAGCCGGCCUGGGAGGGUGACCGGCCACAUUGAGACUGAGAUACGGCCCAGACUCCUCCGGGAGGCAGCGGGGGGGAAUAUUGCACAAUGGGCCGAAGCCGGAUGCAGCAACGCCGCGUGCGGGAUGCCGGCCUUCGGGUUUUAAACCGUUUUCGCAUGUGACGAAGCGUGUGUGACGGUAAUUGGUAAAGAAGCACCGGCUAACUACGUG